rnacentral:lncRNA from 12 species
GGGGUGGGAGAAGCUGUAAAGAUGGACCCCAAAAAACUCUCAGAGCAUGGGAUCUGACUUCCAGGACAGGGAGAGAUGUGGGUAUUUCAGAGGAUGUUUGGGUCUUCUCACUGCCAGCACUCACUUGGAGCCUUCAACUCCUCCUUGGCUCCAGAAAAAAUGAGUGGGAGGAGGAAACCUGGAUCCCUCUCUUCACAGUUUGAUGCCUCAGCAAAGAGCUGCUCAAGAUCAUCUAAGGCAGAGAUGAACCGCAGGAGAAGUUGGGAGAAGGAAAUUCAGAGGGAAAAGAGCAAACCAGCAGUUAUUUGGUGAGACAACAGGUCGAAACU